GAUGAACGCUGGCGGCGUGCCUAAUACAUGCCAGUCGAGCGAACAGACGAGGAGCUUGCUCCUCUGACGUUAGCGGCGGACGGGUGAGUAACACGUGGAUAACCUACCUAUAAGACUGGGAUAACUUCGGGAAACCGGAGCUAAUACCGGAUAAUAUAUUGAACCGCAUGGUUCAAUAGUGAAAGACGGUUUUGCUGUCACUUAUAGAUGGAUCCGCGCCGCAUUAGCUAGUUGGUAAGGUAACGGCUUACCAAGGCAACGAUGCGUAGCCGACCUGAGAGGGUGAUCGGCCACACUGGAACUGGGACACGGUCCAGACUCCUACGGGAGGCAGCAGUAGGGACUCUUCCGCAAUGGGCGAAAGCCUGACGGAGCAACGCCGCGUGAGUGAUGAAGGUCUUCGGAUCGUAAAACUCUGUUAUUAGGGAAGAACAAAUGUGUAAGUAACUAUGCACGUCUUGACGGUACCUAAUCAGAAAGCCACGGCUAACUACGUG
rnacentral:rRNA from 1 species